ACGCUCGACACCUACGGGAGCAGCAGUGGGGAAUAUUGCACAAUGGGGGAAACCCUGAUGCAGCGACGCCGCGUGAGCGAAGAAGUAUCUCGGUAUGUAAAGCUCUAUCAGCAGGGAAGAAAAUGACGGUACCUGACUAAGAAGCCCCGGCUAACUACGUGCCUGCAGCCGCGGUAAUCUGAGCGGGCUGGCAAGGC
rnacentral:rRNA from 1 species